rnacentral:rRNA from 1 species
AGGACGAACGCUGGCGGCGUGCUUAACACAUGCAAGUGGAGCGACGAACCGGGGCUUGCCCCGGGGCAGAGCCGCGAACGGGUGAGUAACACGUGGGUCACCUGCCUCGAUGACCGGGACAACCCGAGGAAACUCGGGCUAAUACCGGAUGUGCCCGCAAGGGGAAAGGAAGCUUCGGCCUCCGCAUCAAGAUGGGCCCGCGGCCCAUUAGCUUGUUGGUGAGGUAACGGCUCACCAAGGCUUCGAUGGGUAGCUGGUCUGAGAGGACGAUCAGCCACACUGGGACUGAGACACGGCCCAGACUCCUACGGGAGGCAGCAGUGGGGAAUAUUGCACAAUGGGCGAAAGCCUGAUGCAGCGACGCCGCGUGAGGGAUGACGGCCUUCGGGUUGUAAACCUCUUUCAGCAGGGACGAAGCGAAAGUGACGGUACCUGCAGAAGAAGCACCGGCCAACUACGUGCCAGCAGCCGC